GAUAGCCAAAAAUCCGAGCAGGGUUAACAGUUGGUUCAAUAAUUACUCGUACAGAUGCCACUGCCGGAUCGUAAAGACCACCCCAAAAUAAUGCUUUUGCCACCAAUAACCAAGCCCCUAACCCCAACAACAGCAGAUGAAUACCGAUGAUGGUGGUCAUUUUGUCUUCAUCUUUCCA
rnacentral:antisense_RNA from 1 species